rnacentral:rRNA from 1 species
AGACAGCAGUAGCCACGGUAAUACAGAGGGUGCGAGCGUUAAUCGGAUUUACUGGGCGUAAAGCGUGCGUAGGCGGCUUCUUAAGUCGGAUGUGAAAUCCCUGAGCUUAACUUAGGAAUUGCAUUCGAUACUGGGAAGCUAGAGUAUGGGAGAGGAUGGUAGAAUUCCAGGUGUAGCGGUGAAAUGCGUAGAGAUCUGGAGGAAUACCGAUGGCGAAGGCAGCCAUCUGGCCUAAUACUGACGCUGAGGUACGAAAGCAUGGGGAGCAAACAGGAUUAGAGACCCCCGUAGUCCCUGUCUCUUAUAA